GGAUUAGCGGCGAACGGGUGAGGAACACGUGAGGAAUCUGCCUUCAACACUGGGAUAACUCCGGGAAACCGGGGCUAAUACCGGAUACGAGACCUGCAGGCAUCUGCGGGUCUGGAAAGUUUUUCGGUUGAAGAUGACCUCGCGGCCUAUCAGCUUGUUGGUGAGGUAAUGGCUCACCAAGGCGACGACGGGUAGCCGGCCUGAGAGGGCGACCGGCCACACUGGGACUGAGACACGGCCCAGACUCCUACGGGAGGCAGCAGUGGGGAAUAUUGGGCAAUGGAGGAAACUCUGACCCAGCGACGCCGCGUGCGGGAUGAAGGCCUUCGGGUUGUAAACCGCUUUCAGCAAGGAAGAAGCGAAAGUGACGGUACUUGCAGAAGAAGCACCGGCUAACUAUGUGCCAGCAGCCGCGGUAAUACAUAGGGUGCAAGCGUUGUCCGGAAUUAUUGGGCGUAAAGAGCUCGUAGGUGGUUCGUCACGUCGGAUGUGAAAAUCUGG
rnacentral:rRNA from 1 species